rnacentral:rRNA from 1 species
AUUGAACGCUGGCGGCAGGCCUAACACAUGCAAGUCGAGCGGAGCGGCGGACGGGUGAGUAAUGCCUAGGAAUCUGCCUGGUAGUGGGGGAUAACGUACGGAAACGGGCGCUAAUACCGCAUACUAUCUGCUGAGUCUAGGUCGGAUUAGCUAGUUGGUGGGGUAAAGGCCUACCAAGGCGACGAUCCCUAACUGGUCUGAGAGGAUGAUCAGUCACACUGGAACUGAGACACGGUCGAGACUCCUACGGGAGGCAGCAGUGGGGAAUAGUGGACAAUGGGCGAAAGCCUGAUCCAGCCAUGCCGCGUGUAUGAAGAAGGCCUUCGGAUUGUAAAGCACUUUAAGUUGGGAGGCGUUACCUACAGAAUAAGCACCGGCUAACUUCGUGCCAGCAGCCGCGGUAAUUC